GAUGAACGCUGACAGAAUGCUUAACACAUGCAAGUCAACUUGAACUUCGGUUUGGGUGGCGGACGGGUGAGUAACGCGUAAAGAACUUGCCUCACAGAUAGGGACAACAUUUGGAAACGAAUGCUAAUACCUGAUAUUAUGAUUAUAUGGCAUCGUAUAAUUAUGAAAGCUAUAUGCGCUGUGAGAGAGCUUUGCGUCCCAUUAGCUAGUUGGAGAGGUAACGGCUCACCAAGGCGAUGAUGGGUAGCCGGCCUGAGAGGGUGAUCGGCCACAAGGGGACUGAGGCACGGCCCUUACGCCUACGGGAGGCAGCAGUGGGGAAUAUUGGACAAUGGACCAAGAGUCUGAUCCAGCAAUUCUGUGUGCACGAUGAAGUAUUUCGGAAUGUAAAGUGCUUUCAGUUGGGAAGAAAAAAAUGACGGUACCAACAGAAGAAGUGACGGCUAAAUACGUG
rnacentral:rRNA from 1 species